rnacentral:lncRNA from 1 species
CCUCCUUUCCCUUUGCCCAGUCAUUAGCUAACAUCCACCACUGGCUGGGCCUGCAUCCCUGAGAUUCACCCACAAGAGCAGGGACUCCUGGUCAACACAUAUUUAUGGAGGGCCCACCAUGUGCCAGGCACAGUUCUUGGUGCUGGAGCUGCACCUGCAAACGAGGCUGAUAGAGGUCCCCACCUGCGUGGAAGGCACAGACAAUGGUCAGGAACCAUAAUUAACCCGUCAACUCUACUGUGUUAGGGCCAGUGCGCAGGUCACGCCUCGUCGGAAAGCUGAGGUUGGAGCACAGACUGGCAGGAGGCGAGGUGGGCAACGGUGGCGGGAACAGCAGAUGCUGCUGCGGCAGCCCUCAGACUGCGGCAAGGGGCCAGAGGCCAGUAGCUGGACCCCCGCGUGACAGAGAUUUGCAGCACCAAGAACCUGGAGCCACUUCCUGUGUCCACCUGCAAUUUCUGCCCAGCUUGAGUGCCAGGAGCAGGCCUGGAACAGACACCCCAGUGGGUCAGCCCCACCUGCCUCUUAACGGCUCAUCAGUUAUUGGAUUUCCAUCAUCAGGACCUGUCCCUGAGCCCCCAAGACGGGUGUAAAACAAAACAAACAAGAUAAAAUGUGUACGCAGCCAACCAAAAAGAUGCCAGCAAUUCAAAGGAAGCAGGGCUCUCGCAUCCCCCAGGGAAGCUGGGCUGGAGGCCAAUAAGCCUGGUGCUUUGGACGUCCACUGACAAAGGGAGGAACAGCAUUCUGCAGGCCCCAGGAAAUGCCCCACUAGCUCUUGUUGGCAUCUUCAGGCGCUGCCUCAAAGGGGGACCCGAGCCUUGACCUGCCGCGGAGCGUCCUUUCUCCAGAUCGAUUGGCCCAAAAUCCCACAGACCCUGUUGCCGGGGGCUGCCCGUCCAUUCCGGUCCCCUCACUCCACCACUCGGACAAGCAGAGGGCCUGGCCCCUGCCUGCCCUCGGAGCCCAGUCUGGUCAUCUGGUGGGCAGGCAGCCACCAAUUCCGGUCUCAUCUGUGACACAGUGGGAGAGGGGAAAGGUCUUUGAGUUCUUCUACCUGUGCGGCUGACCUGGCCAAGCCACGGGGAAUUUCAAGCCCCCUCCCCCGUCCCAGGCUUCACACUCUCUCCCCUGCUUAAUGUUGGUCCACAGUAUGCGAAACAAUAUCGCUCAUUUCUCUUGUUGCCUCCAUCCUCCCCUAGAAUAUAAACCAUGAGGACAGGCUUUUUUGAGCAUUUACUGUGCAGCUGAACCUCCCUGCCAUUGGGCUCUCACUUAAUAUUUCCAGAAGGAAGGCAAGGAGGGUGGAAGGGGGGAGGGAGGAGGGAACAGAUGACGGAACCAACUAGACGGA